rnacentral:rRNA from 1 species
GACGAACGCUGGCGGCGUGCCUAAUACAUGCAAGUCGAACGCAGUGGGGACGGGUGAGUAACACGUGGGUAACCUCCCAUCAGAGGGGAUAACCCUUGGAAACAGGUGCUACCCCGAUACUGGCGGAUGGACCUGCGGUGCAUUAGCCAGUUGGUGGGGUAACGGCCCACCAAGGCCACGAUGCAUAGCCGACCUGAGAGGGUGAUCGGCCACACGGGGACUGAGAAACGGCCCAGACUCCUACGGGAGGCAGCAGUAGGGAAUCUUGGGCAAUGGACGAAAGUCUGACCGAGCAACGCCGCGUGAGUGAAGAAGGUUUUCGGAUCGUAAAACUCUUUUGUUGGGGAAGCGGUAUCUGACGAAAAAGCCACGGCUAACUACGUGCCAGCAGCCGCGGUAAUUC